CAUUGCAAGGGCAAUUUAGAACCUACCAAAACAUCCACUUAAUUGCCUAGGGUUUCCAAUAAUUAGCCAAACAACAUUUCUCUGUACACACAUUAUUCGGUGUAUGUUUUGCAAGUGUUCUUCGAUAAUCGGAGCCUUUUAGCGAAAUCAUUUUGAAAUGGUGAGGACUGUGAAGAAUAAUCAUGAAGAGGACGAAGAAGACGAUGAAGAGUUUUCAUCUAGAACUCCCGAUGGUUCUUCUCAAAAGGGGAAAUUAGAAGGGAAGAGCAAUGAUGGGAAGGUAACUGCUCAUCGUUCGAAGCAUUCUGAGACAGAACAGCGGAGGAGGAUCAAGAUUAAUGAGAGGCAAGUGUAUUAACACC